rnacentral:lncRNA from 1 species
UUCUCUUCUCUUGGGUGUUCUAUACACCCUUUCCUUGGGACGUGCGUCCUAAGGAUUUUUAUGCCCAAAAGAGUUUAGGUGCCUCUUUCUUAUUGAUUUCUAGCAUCUGGUAGCAGCAUAUAGCAAAGAGAAACUCUAGAGAAGAGGAGAAGAAAAAGAUCAAGGAGAAAAAUCAAGUGUUGAUCGCGAUCCAGACUUCGUUCAAAUUCAGUAGGCUGAAUUUUGGAGAAUCAAAAUUCAGAUUAUAGAGGACUGUUCCAGACUGAUCCCGAAUGGAUACUCGUAGAGACCGGAUAUUUAUACAGCUAACAAAGAGCCUCAUCUCUUCUAGAUCUAGUUUUGAAAAAAGAGAUUGCGAAACAGGUAUGUGAUUUGAUCACAAUUUAAAUUUCAGCAUAUAUUAAUUUCAGCAUAUGAAAUAGAUCCAUGUGGUUUUAUGUUUUUAUGCAUACAAAAUUCAGAUUAAAAGUAUUUUAAUCUUAUUCUCUGCUGCAGUAUUUAGAAAAUAAAAGUUUUAAAACACAUAUGUAUGCACCAAAUCC